CUUGUACUCCCUCCAUCCGGAAAUACUUGUCAUUGAAAUGGAUGUAUCUAGAUGUAUUUUAGUUGUAGAUACAUCCAUUUUCAUCCAUUUUGAUGACAAGUAAUUCCGGACGGAGGGAGUAUAAU
rnacentral:pre_miRNA from 1 species